UACGUAGGGUGCAAGCGUUAAUCGGAAUUACUGGGCGUAAAGCGUGCGCAGGCGGUUUUGUAAGUCUGACGUGAAAGCCCCGGGCUCAACCUGGGAAUUGCGUUGGAGACUGCAAGGCUUGAAUCUGGCAGAGGGGGGUAGAAUUCCACGUGUAGCAGUGAAAUGCGUAGAGAUGUGGAGGAACACCGGUGGCGAAGGCCGCCCCCUGGGUCAAGAUUGACGCUCAUGCACGAAAGCGUGGGGAGCAAACAGG
rnacentral:rRNA from 1 species